UUCCAUGCCUCCUCUGUGGAGACAGCAUAGCAUGGUAGUUAAGAGUCUGGGCUUCCAGGGUUCAAAUCCUGGUCCUGCUGCCUUCUAGCUGCUGUCUUGGGCAAGUAUAUUUAAUCUUUCUGUGCCUCAGUUGCCUUAUCCGGACAAGUGGGCUAAUAGUAUCUACCCUCACAGUAUUGUUGUGACAAAUAAAUGAUUUACUACUUGGACAGUGCCUGGAAAAAUGCCUGGCAAGUAUUAGCCAUUACAAAGGUCAAUGUAAUUAUGCUGCUUUAUAGGUAAGGUGACUGAUGGCAACUCGCCAGGCACAAUCAGAGGCCGAGAAGGGGUUGGACCUCUUGUUGGUGCUGUGCCCACAAUAUUUCACAGCCUUGUUUUUAAAAGAUAAGUUGUCUUCAUGAUCACUCCUCUUUUCUAAGCAUAGCGUGGGAUUUCAAAUGAUAAAAUUUCAGCAGGCUGCCUUCUCAGGAGAUACCAAGAAACAUGAGCUGUUAGACUUGGGUUACAGUAAAUCACCUUCCAUUAAGUUCUGGUUUUCGUUGGUCAGACAGCUGGUCCAUUUGCUAAAAAUAAAUAUGUUUGCCUUUCUAUUUGACCUGUAAAUGACAGGAUCGUCUAUGGACAAGCUCUCCAAAGAGUGCCUCUGGCUUAAUUAGUAAAAAUAAUUUUGGACUUGAGGUCCAGGGUCUUGGUCCUAGGAUCUACUGGAUCCAUUACAAGCUUCUAAACCUCAACUGAGCAUGGCUCCUGGUGACAGGACAAGUGCCUGAUGCUCUGGUAUAUAAAAUAGGAAAAAUAAGAACGUCUCUGCUUUAGAGUUGAGGUUAGAAGUGUGAAGUGCUUUGGGGACCCACAGGAGAGAUGCUAGAUUGGUUCCAAGUAGUCUAUCAUGCUUAAAGAAUUGUCUUUCCAUUACCAAAGGGAAAAGAGAAGUUGGAGUUUAGACAGGAUUUUAAAAGUCAGCUAAAGGCUCCAACAUUACACCUGUGGUGAACAACCACAGGUAGUGUUGCAUUCUUUACCUGGCAUUUUUCGGGAUGAUAUAGGAGCAUUUAAAAAAUAGAUAAGUCAAUGAAUGCACUUGGGGGGACUGCCGCUCCUGUCAGCUGAAAGAUCAGCUAUCUACCGUCUUAUAAAACGCCCCGAAAAUCCUCUAAACCUUAGAGCUGGGGAAUUUUUUAAAAAAUCGGAACCACAUCUCCCUGGCUCCGUGCAGUGUGAGUUCUGCAGCUCGGGGGACGCUGCAGUGUGAUGUGGUGGAGAGAGCAAGCUUCACGGCUCCUGCCAUCCUGACAGCGCCCUCCCUCCCGGCCUCAGCCUCCUGGUUCGCCAAACGGAGGACUGAAUUUAUGGCUAGCUGGUCUCUGGGGAGCCUUCCAGCUCUGACAUUCCCGCCUAGAAUAGAUCUUCCCGAAGGUUUCGCAGACAGACCAGAGGGGACAGAGCCGGGAAGGCGAAACAGGGACAGGCGAGAGACGCUGCUCCCAACUCGCAGAGGGAGAAAGCGUGUAUCCCGGGCUGCCGGGGAGAGUGGAAAGAAUGUGAUUUCCGUGACAACAAUGACCUUUCUGCAUUGUCUACUCCUGUGAUCCAGCACAGUGCCUGGCUCUUGUGGAAUUCCAGAAUCCCACAUGUUUGCCUCUGCCUCUGCCUGAGAGCUCCAGCUACUGCCUGGGUUAUGUAAACUAAAGACAUAUGGCUGAGAUGGUAAUUCUCACAUAGAUCUUUUUCUCCUGGUGAGUAACAAACUUCAAAUUACCACCCACAGUAAGUGUUAUUUUUCUUCUAUUUGCUGUUCUAAACCUUUUCCUUGCCACAGGUUUUGGGAACUCUUUUCUUCAUUGUCUCAAAUCAAGAGAAUUAGGAGGGAGAAUGGGGUCAUGAGAUGUUCCUUCACAAGACAGGAACAAUGCCUGGGGGCGGGAAAGUGGCUCAGUAAGUGUUUACUGUGACUGGACAAAUGGUGGAAUGGAAAGAGUGUGGGCUUCUCAAUCCUGCAGACUUGCAUGAAGUCCCACUACUUCUGCUUACCACCAAUUUGAUCAAGGGUAACUUAUAUAACUUCUCUCUGUUUCCUCAUCUGUAAUAUGGGACCGAUGAGAAUUAUCUCACAAGUUCAUUGUCAAGACUAGAGAUAAGAUAUGUAAAGCACUUAGCAUAAUACCCAGAACAUAGUAGGUGCUCCACAAAUGGGUAGCUACUGCUAAUAGUUACAAGAAGCAGCUGGAUUUUCCUAUCCUUGGUCAUCUUUGUGGAACCCAUGCAAAAUAGUUAAACCCAAAACCUCCAGGUGCCACAGCAAACAGGGCAUUGGUAGAGCCACAUAUAAUGCAGGGAUGUCUGGAUAGUGGGGCGGCUAUUCUCUUCCUACCAAAAGCUAGAGGUUGUUGAAGUGCAGGAAGUUGAUUUAUGGAUAGGGAGUAUGUGGACCCGAGAAAUGAUGCAAAGAGAGAAAAGCCAUUCCUUGGGGAACAUAAAACUACCACGGACAUUUCAGUCAAUUCACAGUGAAGACUCUAAGCCUCCCAAGGGCCCAAAUCUGACCUGUACAGAAACAAAUGAGGAAGAGGGAGUAGCCAGAGGAUAGAGGUGAGCUUGCUGAGAAUUCUGCCCCCAAGUUUGGAGCUUGCAAACAGAGAGGCCGAGAAUUCUGCAGAUGCUGUGGCAGUUUGAACUCCUGGAGAGCCCUUCCUGGCCCAGCCUAGCUGGGACGUCGAACACUGUGGGAAGCAGAAGAGGAUCAGCCGAUGGCAGAGAACCUGGACAAAGAAAAGGAUGCCAACCAACUGAGGAUAGAGACGUUUCCCUUGGCUCCUCCCGGCAAAGGAUUUUUCAGGUUUCCUGAGCACCAAGGAAGACUCACAAGGCUCUGGAUGACCUAGAAAAAUCUCACCUGUCCUCUCCAUGUCUCAGCUCCUCAUCUGUAUAAGGAAAAAAGUUGAGCCAGUUGAUGAACCACAGGAAAACCCUAUCUCCUUCAUGGCCAUCUCUGAGGUUUCUGCAACCAGGCAAGCUGUGGCAAUUCUGUGGGUGAUAAUUUAGGGUCCCUUGUAGAAUGGCUUCUGAUGUGGCACAUUAUAUAAAUGGUGGUGCACACUCUUGCAUCUGGCUUUCACCUCUCUAGAGAGUCAGCUCCCAAACUAAUCUUCCUAGUGGGCUCUGAAUAACCUGCAAGAGGGUCCUGGGUUGAUCCUGUGAGGCUGACACUCCUGACUUUGUUCUCUGAAGGAGGGAAAUGGACUCUUCAUGGUGUAGCCAUUUAAUGCCCCUAUCUGUGCUAGAGCCAAAUCUCAGACUGAAGACAACUUAGUAUGGUGUCAGGGUUCAGAAAAAAGGCUUUGGGGACAAGCUGGACCUUAUUCAAACCUAGGGUGAUCAACUUUCUUAGUUUUGCCAUAAUUGUCCUGUUUUUAGCACUGCAAGUCCUAAAUCCCAGAAAAUCCCUAAGUCCUGGGCAAACCCGGAAGCUUGAUCACCCUAUUCUAGCUCUUUCAGGCCUUAGCCAGUCAUUUUCCUUCUUCGAGCCUUAGUUUCCUCAUAUGUGAAAUGAGGGGAAUGAUAACAACAUCAAAUGGUAUGCAUUUGAAGGUUAAUAUGCAUUCAAAGAUUGUUCACCAAGAAAGUUAGAAGUUUACAUGACAAAGUGGUCUUUCUGUUUCUGUUCUGAGAAGGAGUAGAUGUCUCCUCUCCCCAGUGUGUUUUGACUGUUUCAAGUGGAGGUGUGAGGACAGCACUUGAGGAUUCUGGAAUACUCUUCAGGAAGCCUUGCAGGCCCUGGCAAAUGCAAAGCACAAAUUAAGGGUUCUCCCAGCUCUAUGAUUAUGUGGUUAAGUGUAAAUGGCAGAAGCAGCUACCUGCUUGCAGAAGUCACCUUUAGCAGCUACCACUUGCAAGUCACAAAUAAGACAUUAUGAAAUCUUUUCUUUUAGGCUUCUUUAUUGCCCCUUGGCUAUUGUCUGCAGAGAUUCUUAACUAAUAGCCAUGUUCGGAAUGACUGUUUUCCAGAAACCACUGUUUCAUGGCUGAAAAAUGAAAAGAAGUCAAUGUUUUCUAAGGACUCCAUUGCAAGGCAGUUGCAGGACAAGAGUGGAUUUCACAGGCAUCUUAAUUCCUGGCAGUAAUGGCUGAGGGCUGUCUUGGAGACCAGAAGUGGCAGGCAAGAACUCCCUUAACAAAAGAGAGGCAGGGGGAUUAUUUAUUCAAAUGCCCUGAUAGAAGAAGGCCUAAUCAAAGACACCACAGAAAACAAGCCACAGGCAGAUAGGGAAUAUUUGGAACAUGAGAGUGUCAAAAGGAUCCAGGCUUUUGCUAAAGGAAAGGAAAUGACUAGGGGAAAUGGCCUUUUAUAAUUGAGCGGAGCUAUGUCAGAGCUAUGCGCCAAGGGUUGGGGAUUAUUCAAAGUGCAAACACCUUUAUUAUCCUGGUCCUCCCACCCCCAUCACGAAUGAAGUAAGAAUCAUUAGAAUCAGUGCCAGAUUCUGACUGAAAAUAGAGGUCUUCAGAAGUUGGCAAAUUCAACAUGCAAGACUGGCACAAGUGAUAAUGAACUUGUUCUUGGCCACGGCAGUUGAUGACACAAUUUUGCAUAAUUAGAACACCUUUGGAAGUAGGGAGUAAAAAAGGACCCUCCAAUCUGGAAUUGACUAAUUUACAUAAACAUUAGUGUGAUUAGUGAUUUCAACUCUUAAGGUACUUCCUUGUCAUUUACAUUCUAAUUGAUGAUAGGGUAGAAUGCCAAGGGGAGCAACACUGAUGGUGUUUAGUGCCAUACAAAAUGGCCCACGAGGCUGUGGGGAAGUCUGCAAAGUAGGUGUUUCUAGGUUACCAAAGUCAUCUUCUUUUCCUGUGCUUUCCACCCUUUCCUAGAGAAAAUUAAAUUCUAAAACAGCUAAUUUAGAAGUCAAGAAAUUUCAUUAUCAGAAUAAUGCAUUAAGGCGUAUCCGCUAUCUCUUGCUGAGUAAUAAAUCACCCAAAAACAUAGUGACUUAACAACAGUCGUUUUUAACCUCUCCCAGUUUAUGUGGGUCCGGCAUUCAGAGAGGGCUCAGUGGGGAGAUUCUGGUUUGGAGUCCCCCAAGUGGUUGUCAGAAGAAAGGCUGGAGCCAGAACAGCAGAGGGGCUGAAGAAGCUGCAGUCUUGCUAGGCACCUCUGUCUUCACAGAUGGUCUCUCCAUGGGGUCUCUCUAUAAGAGCUAGUUUGAGCCUCUUCACAACAUGGCAGCCUUAGAGUAGUGAAAUGCUCCAGUGCAAGUAUUUCAGCUCCCAACACAGCAGCUGCAUCAACCUUCGUGACCUGGCCUCAGAAGUUUCUGUUGGUUACAAGUGAGUUACAAGCCCCCUUAGGUCCAAGAGAAGGAGAAUUUGAUGUGACUUCUUAAUAGAGAAUGGUGAUAUUCUUGAGGGACAAUGUGGGGUAAGAGAUAGCACUGUGGCCAUCUCUUGAAAAUACAAUAUGGGCCGGGCACGGUGGCUCAUGCCUUUAAUCCCAGCACUCUGGGAGGCCAAGAUGGG